rnacentral:pre_miRNA from 1 species
AGGUGCAUUGACAAGGGCUCUUCUAGGGUAGUACACUCUUUGUUGUUUUAUACUGGGAGAGCAUGUAGAACUCAAAAGAUGUUUUUGCU